CGAUCGUCGUGGUGUCAGAUAAAAAUUGUUUUGCCCGUGGAGCUAUUGUUGGCCGUGAUUUUACACACAGACUCAUAAAGUUUUGAUUAGCAUUUACAGGAUAACUAGUUUAGUACUAGAAGCCUUCGAAAGAAUGUCAAUUGCGUCCUGAAUUCAUAACGUGUAUCCUCGAGCUCUACCCUCCAUAUUCGACGCAGCUUAUAACGCCGCCACAUGGCAUGAUCGUGUCGUUUUAGGAGGUCUGACGACGUCAUCAGAUAAGACUUUGACUGAUGUUAUUUGACCUCUGAAAAUUGGGAAUCAGCCAAAGCAGUCCUGUAUGGCGGUCGUGUGGAAAGGAUGCAACCGUGUGGGAUGGCCGUCACUACAAGCAGUCACUUCUUGAGACACCAAAUCCUGUCACACAAGGCCAAUGGAUGGUUGGUGCAUUUUCACUGAGUUUGAACGUGGUAGGAUUCUUAGAAAUCUAGUGCCAGAGAUGAAGUGGAAGCCACAACAAAGCCGGGUUUUCAUAAACAUCACAAAGAGUUGCUCACUCCAUCUCUUGGAGCCUUGCUUCAUAAAAUUUGACCAACCACCUUGCCCAGACCGGUCACCGUGGCAACUGAACAGCCUCAGGCCCCGCCUCCAGCAGCCAUUGGUCAAGAUCGUCGCUUACCAAUUCCAAUCAGCAAUGAGCGUAGUUGAGGGCAACGCAAGACACCUGUCAGCUUUGUUGUUGUACCUGUCAGUGAUCUGGGUUACCCUGUUGGUUCACCAGGGAGUAGCAUCUGGGCUUAUACACCAGGGAGCAGCGGUGACUGGAUCCCAAGUAGCAACUUAGAGGACAUACCAGGCACAGCAGCUAACAGGAUGCCUAACUUCCCCCAUCAAGACACUGUCAAGAGAGGAUGGCUUCCAAAUGAACAAACACCUGUCAGCCGGUUUGGUGAGCAACAUGAGCCAGUGUCUGGCAUGCAUCAUAACAUGGCCAUGGGAGAUGGGGGAGGGGUGACAGCUCAUGGAAUGGCAGGAGCGGUCUGGAACCCUGUAGCCACCAUGCAACUUCAUGGCACCAAUCCAAAGGUGUGGGGAGCAUCAAGGAGCCAGUCAGUCAUGUGACAUGAGAACACCUCUCUGUCCAUUCCUAUAGAGGGCGCUGUUCGUCAUAGCCGCAGCAUCCACAAGCGAUAUUUAAGUUAAAUAAUUUUUCUUCAAUGGCCAGUAGAGGGCGCCAUAAUACUAUCUGGUUUGUUCACAGACAUAUAAACACAUAGACUGCCAGUAGUGCGCAUGAAACCGUGAUUUAAUAAUUGGGCAAAAUGUUUGUUGACAGCGCGCAUAACUGCGAUGCCACUCAAUGCGCCAACGUGCUUUGUACAGUACAUACAUUUAAAUUCAGUUCAUAAAUUAUUUUGGUAAAGGCUGUAUUACUCAAACUUUGCAAGAAAAUGUUUGGUACCGUAUUGUUUUUAUUCUACGGAAAUCAUAUUUAGUUCACUAGGGAUUGGUUUACAAUCAAAAACUAACUUCACAAUUUUUUUUUUUUUUGCAUGUUUGACUGGAAUUCGUCAACUGUGUGUAAAAUCCUAUACCGAGAGGUGAAUUUGCCCAUAGUUUUGAUUUUAGUCGGGCGCUAGGCAAAUCAUAAAAUGCUCAUGUAGUUUUGAAUAGGACCUGGCGGUCUAUGCAUUUAUAUGUCUGUGGGUUUGUUGCCUUACCUGCCAAAAAAUUGCUGACGGCAUAAUUCAGAGAAAAGAAUGAAAACGAAAUAAUUAGGCCUUGGAAUAAAAAAAAUUGUAUCAAUUCUGUGAAAUUUAAGAUUAUUGUAAACUGGGAGUAGUUUGUAUUUAACUUUAUUUAUGUUAGGCCAA